rnacentral:lncRNA from 1 species
CAUUAAACUAAUACAGUUAUUAUAGAUUAAAGUUSUAAGGUCCAGAAAUGUUUUAGAAUUAUUUACUUUUCAUAUUCAUUGUGCAUGCAGAUYAAGGCACAAGGUUAAAACUGAUGAUAAGCAUGGACGCACCAAGCGCUCAUACAGUACCGGGACAGAAAAACCCUGUUCCAUGAGGGUUCUUUAUUUCCAAAGUUUGGGGAGGGCAGAAGAAAUACUAAGAAAAGCUGAAGCAUGAAAGAAAAGUGAGAAGAAAGAGAAUAGAAGACUUCAGUCUGAGACUGAACAGACAUGCUUGUCUUGAGCUGAGGAACACAUGUAACAGCAGCACUGCCAUCUCCAGAACUUGUGACAGCUGCUGAGGUCUUCAGUCCAUGAGGUAAGUUAUGUAGGACUUGGUAGAAGCAGUUGCUCAAGUGAUGAUUGGUAACUUGUGGUUUAAAAA